UACGGAGGAUGCGAGCGUUAUCCGGAUUUAUUGGGUUUAAAGGGUGCGUAGGCGGUUUGAUAAGUUAGAGGUGAAAUGUCGGGGCUCAACCCCGAAACUGCCUCUAAUACUGUUGGACUAGAGAAUAGUUGCGGUACGCGGAAUGCGUGGUGUAGCGGUGAAAUGCAUAGAUAUCACGCAGAACCCCGAUUGCGAAGGCAGCGUACCGGCGCCCAACUGACGCUGAAGCACGAAAGCGUGGGUAUCGAACAGG
rnacentral:rRNA from 1 species